CCUACGGGAGGCAGCAGUAGGGAAUCUUCCGCAAUGGGCGAAAGCCUGACGGAGCAACGCCGCGUGAGUGAUGAAGGCCUUCGGGUUGUAAAACUCUGUCUUCUGUGAGGAACCAUCCUGUGCAGAGAAAGCUCAGGACCUGACGGUAACAGAGGAGGAAGCCCCGGCUAACUACGUGCCAGCAGCCGCGGUAAUACGUAGGGGGCAAGCGUUGUCCGGAAUCACUGGGCGUAAAGCGCGCGCAGGCGGUCUUUCACGUCCGGGGUGAAAGCCCAGAGCUCAACUCUGGGAUUGCCUUGGAUACGGGGAGACUUGAGGAUCGGAGAGGCAAGGGGAAUUCCACGUGUAGCGGUGAAAUGCGUAGAGAUGUGGAGGAACACCUGUGGCGAAGGCGCCUUGCUGGCCGAUUUCUGACGCUGAGGCGCGAAAGCGUGGGGAGCAAACAGGAUUAGAUACCCUGGUAGUCCACGCCGUAAACGAUGAGUGCUGGGUGUUAGGGGGUCCCGACCCCGUUACGUGCCGAAGCUAACGCAUUAAGCACUCCGCCUGGGGAGUACGGUCGCAGACUGAACUACAGUAGUAGUUGACGCGUGAGACGUUGACGAGGCACGACGGAGGGAGAGG
rnacentral:rRNA from 1 species